UACAGAGGUCUCGAGCGUUAGGCGGAAUCACUGGGCUUAAAGCGUGUGUAGGCGGCGGGCUAAGUACCUUGUGAAAUCCCACGGCUUAACUGUGGAACUGCUGGGUAUACUGGUUCGCUUGAGCGGUCUAGGGGCGAGCGGAACAAAUGGUGGAGCGGUGAAAUGCGUAGAUAUCAUUUGGAACGCCAACGGUGAAAACAGCUCGCUGGGGGCCUGCUGACGCUGAGACACGAAAGCCAGGGGAGCGAACGGG
rnacentral:rRNA from 1 species